CCUACGGGUGGCUGCAGUGAGGAAUAUUGGUCAAUGGACGAGAGUCUGAACCAGCCAAGUAGCGUGAAGGAUGACUGCCCUAUGGGUUGUAAACUUCUUUUAUAUGGGAAUAAAAUGUUCCACGUGUGGGAUUUUGUAUGUACCAUAUGAAUAAGGAUCGGCUAACUCCGUGCCAGCAGCCGCGGUAAUACGGAGGAUCCGAGCGUUAUCCGGAUUUAUUGGGUUUAAAGGGAGCGUAGGUGGAUUGUUAAGUCAGUUGUGAAAGUUUGCGGCUCAACCGUAAAAUUGCAGUUGAAACUGGUUUUCUUGAGUGAGUGAGAAGUAUGCGGAAUGCGUGGUGUAGCGGUGAAAUGCAUAGAUAUCACGCAGAACUCCGAUUGCGAAGGCAGCAUACCGGCGCUCAACUGACGCUCAUGCACGAAAGUGUGGGUAUCGAACAGGAUUAGAUACCCCAGUAGUC
rnacentral:rRNA from 1 species